GAGGGAUGGCGUACAUCACCCCGAGCCGUGUGGCUUCCUCUGCGGGGACCGCGUCCCGGAGGGGGGGGGGGGGAGGGGGGCUGUGGCAGAGCCGCAUCGCUGCGCGCGCUUCGCAGCCCCACACGCUCCGCUGGGACUGAACAGCAGCGCCCCCAGCGCCGCACUGCCAGCUCCCAGACGCGGGGAACGCCGUUAAAACUAAUUGCUCUCGGCGCUGCGGAGUAAAGGGGCUCCGGGGAGAGAUUUCACGUAGAAUGAAGAAAUGAGUGUAACCUUCCACUGCCUCUUGAAAACAAGCAGCAGCCAAGAGCAGAAUUUCAGACCAGUUUCCAGAAGCUUCUGUCUCACUUUCCUUAUGAAAGAACUUUGGUGGAGAAGAAGCACGAUCUUCUCACUUUCAUCAGUCCUCUUGCAGAACAGUGGCAAUUCCUAAUCCAAACCAUCAGAUGCUUCAGGAGGAGGUGAAUGUUCUUUAGCACAGCCAGCAUGAUUUAAUGCAACUGUUAAUCCCAUGCUCAACCAGAAAGCAUACAGCCUACUGGAAAGUUGAUUGGAAACCGUGGACAAUUACUAUGUCUAUACCUCAGUAGAGAAGAGAUUCAACAGCUCCAGUGCUAUGAACGCUACGUAUUACCUUAAGAAAUAACAGUCAAACAAAUCCACCAGUGAGCCAAGUGCCAUCCUGUUACAUAGGGACCUCAUUCUCAAAACAGUGAGCUUGCAGACACUGAUUAUUAUUUGAAUAUGCAAGUGCCAAAAAUCACCCUUUGUUUCCUGUUAUGUUUUAUAUUCACCUAAACAAUGAAAAAUAAAGCUUUAAGUCAGUCACUGUUUGGAGAAACCUGCCCAGUACCUGACCAAAGAACAGCCUUCCAAAACAUGGGAGCAAUACCUUUUCUGCUAUGUGUGGCCUUCCGUAGCGGUCACAAAUGAAAAAGCAGACAUUGUAAGAAAGACUUCCCUAUGGCUUGGGACAGUAGGCACCAAUUAUUCUCCUAACCAGAAAAAGCAAGGGGGGAAAAAAGGCUCUGCCAAAUGCGUUCAUAAAAAUCACCAAAGUUUUGGUGGGGUGCCAGAAAGUUGUGGCCUACAAAUGCAAGCAGUUUUGAGCAUCAAGCACUGAAGGUGGAAUAGCCAAAUGGCCUAAAGCAGCGAGGGCAGCCCUGGAAAAUAACAGUCUAGUCAUUAUGGAUACUUCUGGUAAUAAAUAAAACAUGAAUCAUGAUGAACUCAUUGGAUAUUAAAUGUAAGGGUCACAAGUACUUUGAUAGGAUUUCCAAAAGAAUUUACCAUUAAUUAACCAAAUUAUUAUUUGAAAGUGUUACUGAAUUAUCCUUAGUUCUUAUACAGCCAUUCCAGAGAAAUUGGUCAUUCCCAG
rnacentral:lncRNA from 1 species